AAUCUUUCGGGAUUUAGUGGCGGACGGGUGAGUAACGCGUGAGAAUCUGCCUUCAGGUUCGGGACAACAGCUGGAAACGGCUGCUAAUACCGGAUGUGCCGAGAGGUGAAAGCUUUAGUGCCUGGAGAUGAGCUCGCGUCUGAUUAGCUAGUAGGAGUGGUAACGGCACCCCUAGGCGACGAUCAGUAGCUGGUCUGAGAGGAUGAUCAGCCACACUGGGACUGAGACACGGCCCAGACUCCUACGGGAGGCAGCAGUGGGGAAUUUUCCGCAAUGGGCGCAAGCCUGACGGAGCAAGACCGCGUGAGGGACGAAGGUCUGUGGAUUGUAAACCUCUUUUGAUAGGGAAGAAGAUAGUGACGGUACCUAUCGAAUCAGCCUCGGCUAACUCCGUGCCAGCAGCCGCGGUAAUACGGAGGAGGCAAGCGUUAUCCGGAAUUAUUGGGCGUAAAGAGUCCGUAGGUGGGUGACCAAGUCAGUUGUUAAGUAGUGAAGCUUAACUUCAUAGAGGCGACUGAAACUGGUCAUCUAGAGUGUGGUAGGGGUAGAGGGAAUUUCCAGUGUAGCGGUGAAAUGCGUAGAUAUUGGAAAGAACACCGGUGGCGAAAGCGCUCUACUGGGCCUGCACUGACACUGAGGGACGAAAGCUAGGGGAGCGAAAGGGAUUAGAUACCCCUGUAGUCCUAGCCGUAAACGAUGGAUACUAGGCGUUGCCCGUAUCGACCCGAGCCGUGCCGAAG
rnacentral:rRNA from 1 species